CAAUGAACCCCCAAUAACACAUAGCCUUCUUCUGUUAAAGACCACCAGAAUACACAACUUCUUAAAAAAGAAAAGCUAAAUGAGAGAUUCACCAAGGAUAGAGGCUUUUCCAUUCACAUAAUCAUCAGAAUGGAGCAGGGGAGGGUGGCUUUGGACAGAAAAGCUGAGACCUGCUGAUUUAUAUGAUUUAUAUCAAAUAAAGCCCGAGGUAAAUCAGUGACUUGACCAGCCACAGAGCUUAAUAGAGCCUGAGUUAGGACCCAGACUUCAUUAGGGACCCAAGGGCAGGAGUUCCUUUUAAUCUUUCCCGGCUUCAGAGUGAAUACAAAAAAUACAUAAGGAUGCAUCUCAACAUCUUUGAAUAUUUAUAGGUCCCUACACUGAAUUUUCAAGGCCCAAGAUAAAAAUCACAUAGCGGCCCAGGUCCAGACCCAGGCCCAGCCAGCCAUAUGAGUGAGCCCAGAACAGCAAAGAACUGCCCAGUCGAGUCACUGCUGCUGAAAACCACUAAAUUUUGGAGUGUCUUGUUACACAACAAUAGUAACUGUUGUCCCACCACUACACAGAUGCCAUCACAACAUCCAAAUUCUGCCUUCUGACGUGGUGAAAAAUUUCCCUUUUGAAUAUUUCAAUAGACUUUAAAAGAAAAUGAACUACCAGUUAAACUGAAUGUUUAAUACAUUUGUAGGAACAGAAGAAAUGCAGUAAGGAUUAAAAUUUUAUAAUUAGACAUUAAUGUAACAGAUGUUUCAUUUUUCAAAGAAGUUUCCCCCUUUUCCCUAUCUUUUUAA